rnacentral:rRNA from 1 species
CCCUUAGAGUUUGAUCCUGGCUCAGGACGAACGCUGGCGGCGUGCCUAACACAUGCAAGUCGAACGAGGCCACUCCUUCGGGAGUGAGUCGAGUGGCGGACGGGUGAGUAACACGUGAGCAACCUAUCCUUGUGCGGGGGACAACCGGGGGAAACCUCGGCUAAUACCGCAUGGGCAGGCACCUCGAGUGGGGAGCCUGGGAAAGAUGGCCUCUUUACAAUGCUGUCGCGCAGGGAGGGGCUCGCGGGCUAUCAGCUAGUUGGUGAGGUAAUGGCUCACCAAGGCAGCGACGGCUACGGGGUCUGAGAGGACGACCCCGCACAUUGGAACUGAGACACGGUCCAGACUCCUACGGGAGGCAGCAGUGGGGAAUAUUGGGCAAUGGGCGCAAGCCUGACCCAGCGACGCCGCGUGCGGGAUGACGCUUCUCGGAGUGUAAACCGCUGUCAGAGGGGACGAACGGCCGGAGUGGGAAUACUGCUCCGGAUUGACGGUACCCUCAAAGGAAGCGCCGGCUAACUCCGUGCCAGCAGCCGCGGUAAUACGGAGGGCGCAAGCGUUGUUCGGAAUCACUGGGCGUAAAGCGCGCGCAGGCGGGUGUGCAGGUCGGAAGUGAAAUCCCGGGGCUCAACUCCGGGGCUGCUGCCGAUACUGCAUGUCUAGAGCCAGUAGGGGUUGGUGGAAUUCCCGGUGUAGCGGUGGAAUGCGUAGAUAUCGGGAAGAACACCUGUGGCGA